UACGUAGGGGGCAAGCGUUGUCCGGAAUUAUUGGGCGUAAAGCGCGUGUAGGCGGUCCGAUAAGUCGGCUGUGAAAGUCCAGGGCUCAACUCUGGAAUGCCGGCCGAUACUGUCGGACUAGAGUCCGGAAGAGGCAAGUGGAAUUCCCGGUGUAGCGGUGAAAUGCGCAGAUAUCAGGAGGAACACCAAUUGCGAAGGCAGCUCGCUGGGACGUUACUGACGCUGAGACGCGAAAGCGUGGGGAGCAAACAGG
rnacentral:rRNA from 1 species